GACGUAGGGCGCGAGCGUUGUCCGGAUUUAUUGGGCGUAAAGAGCUCGUAGGCGGUUUGUCGCGUCUGCUGUGAAAACUGGAGGCUCAACCUCCAGCCUGCAGUGGGUACGGGCAAACUAGAGUGCGGUAGGGGAGAUUGGAAUUCCUGGUGUAGCGGUGGAAUGCGCAGAUAUCAGCAGGAACACCGAUGGCGAAGGCAGAUCUCUGGGCCGUAACUGACGCUGAGGAGCGAAAGCAUGGGGAGCGAACAGG
rnacentral:rRNA from 1 species